AAGGCAACAAUAAUUCAGUAAUCAGACCAUAUGAUCCCAUCAACUCAUUGAGAUGUCAAUCAAGUUCAAUCGAGAAAUAUGUUUGGAUAGAAUGGAAAUCGAUCUAAUCGAUAAAAUCGAGCAUUCAAUAACUUUCAAAGUUCCAAUUUUAAUCAGGGAUUUGCAUCAAACCCCAAUAAUUACAUUAAAGAGCAGCAAAGAUAUCAGCAAUAUGCUCCAUCGACACCAUCAAACCCAGUUUUCUCUGUUCUAAUAGAUUAAUGAAGAUCAUUUUCUUAUUGAAACAUAGAAAGCAUACUCCACAUAAGUAAGUUAGGACCAACAAGGUUGCAUAUUAACAAAUAGAGUGUGGUAUGAGAUAAUUCU
rnacentral:lncRNA from 1 species